CCUAUGGGAGGCAGCAGUGGGGAAUAUUGCACAAUGGGGGAAACCCUGAUGCAGCGACGCCGCGUGAGCGAAGAAGUAUUUCGGUAUGUAAAGCUCUAUCAGCAGGGAAGAAAAAUGACGGUACCUGAGUAAGAAGCACCGACUAAAUACGUGCCAGCAGCCGCGGUAAUACGUAUGGUGCAAGCGUUAUCCGGAUUUACUGGGUGUAAAGGGUGCGUAGGUGGCGGGGCAAGUCAGAUGUGAAAGCCCGGGGCUCAACCCCGGUACUGCAUUUGAAACUGUCCAGCUGGAGUGCAGGAGAGGUA
rnacentral:rRNA from 1 species